rnacentral:rRNA from 1 species
UGGGGAAUUUUGGACAAUGGGGGCAACCCUGAUCCAGCCAUGCCGCGUGCGGGAAGAAGGCCUUCGGGUUGUAAACCGCUUUUGGUCGGAAAGAAAAGGUACUGGUUAAUACCCAGUGCACUUGACGGUACCGGCAGAAUAAGCACCGGCUAACUACGUGCCAGCAGCCGCGGUAAUACGUAGGGUGCGAGCGUUAAUCGGAAUUACUGGGCGUAAAGCGUGCGCAGGCGGUUUGUUAAGUCUGAUGUGAAAGCCCCGGGCUCAACCUGGGAAUGGCAUUGGAAACUGGCAAGCUGGAGUGUGGCAGAGGGGGGUGGAAUUCCGCGUGUAGCAGUGAAAUGCGUAGAGAUGCGGAGGAACACCGAUGGCGAAGGCAGCCCCCUGGGCCAACACUGACGCU